rnacentral:lncRNA from 1 species
AUUCACGCCUGGAAAACGCUCUUCUGAGAGGAUCUGUGGAGGUCAACCCAGGAGAGAGAAGACAGGACUGAAGCACUGAAAGGGUCCUGCCGUAAGGGCGCAGGAUUGUAUAGAAUAUAUAAUAGCAGUAGCAGCUCUGUUUACGGAGCAUUAACCUUACGUGGAGUUAUUUCCUGCAUUUCCUCCUUUCGUCUUUACAAGGUAGCCGUUUGGCGUCGUGAGAGAUUGGGUCUCUCCACAUUGCCCCGGCUGCUCUCCAACCCCUGAGUUCAAGUGAUUCACCUCCCUUGGCCUCCCAAAGAACUGGGAUUACAGACGUGAGCCACCGUGCCUGGCUGAGAAGAUGGAUUUAAGAUAUGUUUUGGAGCGGAAAGUGAGCAGAAGAGGUGUGCAGUUUCCAGGCCUGGCCCAUACAGACCUCCAACAGGUGCUCCCCUGUGCUGUUACUCCUUCUGCCAACUGGAAGCAGAUGGUGACCAGGCUCUGGAGAAGGCAAGGCCUGAAGAUGGGAGAUUCCUAAGUGGAGGAGAACUGUGCCUUACUGACCUAAAUAUCCACUCAGUAUUGUUAUGUGAGAAUAAAUAAACUUGUGUUGACCGUU